AGUGCGCGGGGCCCCCGGGCGAGCCGAGGGCCGGGUGGGUGCGCCCCGGGUGGCCGACGCGCCCGCUGAGCCCUGCCGACGGGCCCCGUCCCGUGUCGAAACACCGAGAAAUCCCCUUUCCUCCACCCCCACCGCAAGAUGGAACCGAAANGGCGAGCCGAGGGCCGGGUGGGUGCGCCCCGGGUGGCCGAGCCGCCCGCUGAGCCCUGCCGACGGGCCCCGUCCCGUGUCGAAACACCGAGAAAUCCCCUUUCCUCCACCCCCACCGCAAGAUCAGGAACCGAAAUAGGCCCCCGAGUUGCACUGCACAGAAUUCAGAGGACUCGGGCUUCGUCUCGGGGGAGACAGAAGCUCGGCAAAGAUAAUGAUGUUCUGUGCAGAACCAGUGGGGGGAGAACAGCAUCUGCCUGCGUAAAGCUUGUCAGCGAUUAUCAGCAAAAUCGAUUGUAUACUAUGAAAUAA
rnacentral:lncRNA from 1 species